GUUUGUUCACAGGAGUAGGGGAUGUCCUGAUAUGUGUGUAAGGAAUGCAUUGUGUGAAUCUGUGUUUGUAUGUGUAAGGGCUGCAAUGUGUGUUUCUAUGUAUGUACGGGAUGCAGUGUGUGCGUCUGUAAGGGGUGCAUUGAGUGUGUGUAAGGAAUGCAUUGUGUGUUUCUGUGUGUGUAAGGGAUGCAUUGUGUGUAAGGGUUGAAUUGCUUGUGUGUGUGUGUGUGUGUGUGUGUAAUGCAUUGUGUGUUUUUCUGUGUGCAAGGGGUGCAUUGUGUGUGUGUG